ACCCGUGCAGAGGCGGGUAUAACUUUAUAAGACGAGAAGACCCUGUGGAGCUUAAAAUUACAACUUAAAUUAAUUUAUACUAUACCCUAAGGGAUUAAUCUUACAAAACUUUUUAAGCUGAAUUUUUGGUUGGGGUGACCUCGGAGCACAAGCAACCCUCCGAAUGACAUAACUAAGACUAACACAUCUAAGUGCAACCUAAGCCAGUAAUUGACCCAAAACUUGAUCAACGGAACAAGUUACCCCAGGGAUAACAGCGCAAUCCUAUUUAAGAGCCCAUAUCGACAAUUAGGGUUUACGACCUCGAUGUUGGAUCAGGACACCCCAAUGGUGCAGCCGCUAUUAAAGGUUCGUUUGUUCAACGAUUAAAGUCCUACGUGAUCUGAGUUCAGACCGGAGAAAUCCAGGUCGGUUUCUAUCUAUAUAAUA
rnacentral:ncRNA from 1 species